rnacentral:rRNA from 1 species
GAUGAACGCUGGCGGCGUGCUUAACACAUGCAAGUCGAACGAUGAAGCCCAGCUUGCUGGGUGGAUUAGUGGCGAACGGGUGAGUAACACGUGAGUAACCUGCCCUUAACUCUGGGAUAAGCCUGGGAAACUGGGUCUAAUACCGGAUAGGAGCGUCCACCGCAUGGAGGGUGUUGGAAAGAUUUAUCGGUUUUGGAUGGACUCGCGGCCUAUCAGCUUGUUGGUGAGGUAAUGGCUCACCAAGGCGACGACGGGUAGCCGGCCUGGGAGGGUGACCGGCCACACUGGGACUGAGACACGGCCCAGACUCCUACGGGAGGCAGCAGUGGGGAAUAUUGCACAAUGGGCGAAAGCCUGAUGCAGCGACGCCGCGUGAGGGAUGACGGCCUUCGGGUUGUAAACCUCUUUCAGUAGGGAAGAAGCGAAAGUGACGGUACCUGCAGAAGAAGCACCGGCUAACUACGUG